CCUACGGGAGGCUGCAGUGAGGAAUAUUGGUCAAUGGGCGGGAGCCUGAACCAGCCAAGUCGCGUGAAGGAAGAAGGUACUUAGUAUUGUAAACUUCUUUUGUCGGGGAACAAAGGCGGAGACGCGUCUCCGGAUGAGUGUACCCGAAGAAAAAGCAUCGGCUAACUCCGUGCCAGCAGCCGCGGUAAUGCGGAGGAUGCGAGCGUUAUCCGGAUUUAUUGGGUUUAAAGGGUGCGCAGGCGGGAGAUCAAGUCAGCGGUAAAAUGUUGGGGCUCAACCCCGGCCGGCCGUUGAAACUGGUGUCCUAGAGUGGGAGAGAAGUAUGCGGAAUUCGUGGUGUAGCGGUGAAAUGCGUAGAUAUUAGGAGGAACACCAGUGGCGAAGGCGGCUUACUGGACUGUAACUGACGUUGAGGCUCGAAAGCGUGGGGAGCAAACAGGAUUAGAUACCCGGGUAGUC
rnacentral:rRNA from 1 species